CCGAUUUCAAACCCGGGCAGGUGGAGGUCGUUAGCGAAAGCAGUUCACCUAGGAGAGCAAACUCCGAUUUCAAACCCGGGCAGGUGGAGGUCGUUAGCGAAAGCAGUUCACCUAGGAGAGCAAACUCUGAUUACAAACCCGGGCAGGUGGAGGUCGUUAGCCGUGGUAGGCAAUCUGCCUAGGAGAGGGACAACUCCGAACAACAAACCCGGGCAGGUUGGGCUCGUGAGCCGUCAUAGGCAAUACACCUAGGAGAGCAAACUCCGAACAAAAAACCCGGACAGGUUGGGCUCGUGAGCCGUCAUAGGCAAUACACCUAGGAGAGCAAACUCCGAACAAAAAACCCGGACAGGUUGGGCUCGUGAGCCGUCAUAGGCGAUACACCUAGGAGAGCAAACUCCGAACAAAAAGCCCGGGGAGGUGGAGCUCGUUAGCCGUGGUAGGCAAUUCACCUAGGAGAGGGACAACUCCGAACAACAAACCCGGGCAGGUGGAGCUCGUUAGCCGUGGUAGGCAAUCUGCCUAGGAGAGGGACAACUCCGAUCAUAAACACGGGCAGGUGGAGGUCGUUAGCGUGAGCAAUUCACCUAGGAGAGCAAACUCCGAUCACAAACCCGGCAGGUGGAGGUCGUUAGCGUGAGCAAUUCACCUAGGAGAGCAAACUCCGAUCACAAACCCGGCAGGUGGAGGUCGUUAGCGUAAGCAGUUCACCUAGGAGAGCAAACUCCGAUUACAAACCCGGCAGGUGGAGGUCGUUAGCGUAAGCAGUUCACCUAGGAGAGCAAACUCCGAUUACAAACCCGGCAGGUGGAGGUCGUUAGCGUAAGCAGUCCACCUAGGAGAGCAAACUCCGAUUACAAACCCGGUAGGUGGAGGUCGUUAGCGUAAGCAGUUCACCUAGGAGAGCAAACUCCGAUUACAAACCCGGAAUGGUGGAGAUCGUUAGCCGUGAGGCAGUUCACCUAGGAGAAGGAUAACUCUGACCACAAACCCGGGCAGGAGGGGGUCGUUAGCCGUGGUAGGAAGUCCUCCUAGGAGAAGGAAAACUCCGAAUUCAAACCAACCAACCAACACACACACACACACACACACACACACACAACCAACCAGCCGGGCAGGUGGGACUCGUUAUAGGCGUCGUAGACAAUCCACCAAGGGGAAUCAACAAAAAAUGGAUAAUAAAAGCGAACACACGAAAAGAAGAAUAUGAAAUCAGAACCGGACAAAAAAAGAUGAUAUAAGAUGGAACUCCGAAAAAAGGAUAGUUAAGAAAACAACAUUAUGAAAAGCAUAAGAUACACGCGCAUCAUCCAGAUUGAAACAGAAGACCAAAAAAUGGAUGGUAUAAAAAGAACGGAAAAUAAUGUAAUAAGAACGCACAGAAAAUAACGUAAAAACAAAACACCAAGAAAAGGAAAAUAAUAAAAAUAUAGAAACAACGUCAAGAAAAAAAAAGACACCA